rnacentral:rRNA from 1 species
CCUGGUUGAUCCUGCCAGUAAUCAUAUGCUUGUCUCAAAGAUUAAGCCAUGCAUGUCUAAGUACAUGCCGAAAUAAGGCGAAACCGCGAAUGGCUCAUUAAAUCAGUUAUGGUUCCUUAGAUCGUUUCUUCCUACUUGGAUAACUGUGGCAAUUCUAGAGCUAAUACAUGCAGUGAGCCUGGAGCCCUUUGGGUAACGGGUACUUUUAUUAGACCAAGAUCGAUCGGGUUUCGGCCCGUAUUGUGUGGUGACUCUGGAUAACUUUGUGCUGAUCGCAUGGCCACGAGCCGGCGACGUUUCUUUCAAGUGUCUGCCUUAUCAACUUUCGAUGGUAGGUUACUUGCUUACCAUGGUUGUUACGGGUAACGGAGAAUCAGGGUUCGAUUCCGGAGAGGGAGCCUGAGAAACGGCUCCCACAUCCAAGGAAGGCAGCAGGCGCGCAAAUUACCCACUCCCGGCACGGGGAGGUAGUGACGAAAAAUAACAAUACGGGACUCUUUUGAGGCCCCGUAAUUGAAAUGAGUACACUCUAAAUCCUUUAACGAGGAUCAAUUGGAGGGCAAGUCUGGUGCCAGCAGCCGCGGUAAUUCCAGCUCCAAUAGCGUAUACUAAAGCUGCUGCGGUUAAAAAGCUCGUAGUUGGAUCUCAGUUCCAGACGAGUAGUGCAUCUACCCGAUGCGACGGCUCGGACUGAACAUCAUGCCGGUUCUUUCUUGGUGCACUUCAUUGUGUGCCUCGAGAUGGCCGGUGCUUUUACUUUGAAAAAAUUAGAGUGCUCAACGCAGGCGAGUCGCCUGAAUAAACUUGCAUGGAAUAAUAGAACAAGACCUCGUUUCUGUUCUGUUGGUUUUUGGAAUACGAGGUAAUGAUUAAGAGGGACGGACGGGGGCAUUCGUAUUGCGGCGCUAGAGGUGAAAUUCUUGGACCGUCGCAAGACGAACUACUGCGAAAGCAUUUGCCAAGAAUGUUUUCAUUGAUCAAGAACGAAAGUCAGAGGUUCGAAGGCGAUCAGAUACCGCCCUAGUUCUGACCAUAAACGAUGCCAACCAGCGAUCCGCCUGAGUUACUCAAAUGACUCGGUGGGCAGCUUCCGGGAAACCAAAGUAUUUGGGUUCCGGGGGAAGUAUGGUUGCAAAGCUGAAACUUAAAGGAAUUGACGGAAGGGCACCACCAGGAGUGGAGCCUGCGGCUUAAUUUGACUCAACACGGGAAAACUUACCCGGCCCGGACACUGGGAGGAUUGACAGCUUCUUUACCUUGAUUUGGUGGAUGGUUGUUGCAUGGCCGAGUUUCUUAGUUGGUGGAGCGAUUAUGUCUGGUUAAUUCCGAUAACGAACGAGACUUAGCCUUUAGGUGUUCCCAGCACCUUACAACCUUCUUAGAGGGACAAGCGGCUCCUAGCCGCACGAAACAGAGCAAUAACAGGUCUAUGAUGCCCUUAGAUGUCCGGGGCCGCUCGCGCGCUACACUGAAGGAAGCGUGUCUUUAUCCCUGUCUGAAAAGACUGGGUAACCCGUGGAACUUCUUUCGUGAUUGGGAUAGGGGCUUGCAAUCUGGUUCCCCAUUGAACGAGGAAUUCCCAGUAAGCGCGAGUCAUAAGAUCGCGUUGAUUACGUCCCUGCCCUUUGUACACACCGCCCGUCGCUACUACCGAUUGAAUGAUUUAGUGAGGUCUUCGGACCGAUGUCCGGCGCGGCCUUUCGGUUGCGCCGGUCUGUUGGAAAGAUGACCAAACUUGAUCAUUUAGAGGAAGUAAAAGUCGCUAACAAGGUUUCCGUAGGUGAACAUAGGCGGG